UACGGAGGGUGCGAGCGUUGUCCGGAAUCACUGGGCGUAAAGGGUGCGUAGGCGGUCGGGUAAGUCUGAUGUGAAAUCUCACAGCUUAACUGUGAAACUGCAUUGGAUACUAUCCGGCUAGAGGAAUGGAGGGGAGACUGGAAUACUUGGUGUAGCAGUGAAAUGCGUAGAUAUCAAGUGGAACACCAGUGGCGAAGGCGAGUCUCUGGACAUUUCCUGACGCUGAGGCACGAAAGCCAGGGGAGCAAACGGGA
rnacentral:rRNA from 1 species